UAUCCGAACUCAAUCGAUAACCUACGUCAAUAUAUAAGAAGAUUUUCUUACGCAAUCAUUCACAGUUACAUAAGUACUUUUUUAGGUGAUACAUAUAGCUGUUAGUUUGUACUAAAACUUAGAAUAACGACGGUACAAAAUGAUUUGCAAUUUCGUGAUUGUUAUAAUUUCUAGUUUAGUAUUGCGCUGUUUAGCGGGAGAUCUCGUGGUUCAUACGAAAGAGGACGUCUGUAGUAUUCACACUUCAUGUAACUCAUGUAUCUCCCAAAGCAUUUGCACAUGGUGUGUUGCCAAGAGUUUGUGUACGAAGCAACGCUGUGGCAAUGACAACGUGAUAUAUCCAAAACAAAAUCAAGCUCUUAUGGCCGGACCAGACUUUUGCCCAAGAAUCGCAGACACCGCAGAUCUAACAUUCGCAAAUGGCAAAAAAGAAAUUAUUUCAGUAAAGAUAACACAAAUAUAUCUUUUUAUGGCAUUCACGCCAUGGAAAUGCAAAAUUAAUUUGAACGGCGAGGAAUUCGCACUAACGGCCAUCUUACUAGCGGAUACAGUUUAUUGCGAGAGCUUUAAAAUGAAAAACGAAUCUGAGAAUCCUUACAUCGAAGGUAGUGUAAAGGUUUUAUGGAAUUACAGUAAAGCUUUCGACGGAUCACUUCCUUUUAAGGUUUGUCGAUGUGAUUUAGAGCCGACAUGUAUCGCUUGUAAAAAUAAAUAUAAAUAGUGUUUGUGAUUGUAUAAAUAAAUAUUUAUUAAUUCAUUAAAUUAUUAUUUUACAUACGCUAGUAUUUAUGUUUUUAUAAAACUAUAAUUUGUGAUAUGUGUCUAGUAGUCAUAAUUCUUCUUUCUACACGUGGUAGUCUGAAGUUAAAGAAGAUUAAAAAGAUCUUGGUGAUAAGAACGCCAUCGCAAGUGUUGUAAAAUUUUGUCUUAAUUAAUGUGUGCAUAAUGUGUGGAUAAGAUAACUUCAACAAAUAUUACUUUUUGCAAAUACAGCUGCCUAUUUUAAAAACGCUUAAUAUUAAGAAAACAAACAAAAUAUUUUGUUAUUCUAUGAAUUUGUAAAAAUUAUAAAUAAACGUUCUUACUUGUGCUUGGUAUUCAAUCGUAA